GAGGUGACCAUGGUCAGCUCAGUGGUAGAGCGUCUGACCGGUGUGCGGAAGGUCAUAGGUUCGUCUCCUGUUUUUUUCC